GUGUCUCUAGUGCACAACCUAUGUGCUGUUAAUGAAAUUCAUAAUGAGAAAUAGAUUGAUCAACAUUUAAAUACACAAAAGGGAAACCAUGCAUGCCGUUGGCAGUUAGGUGAUUGGGAGGAUUGCUAAAUUCAAGGAAAUUUCAACGAUGAAAGUCAACUAUUCUUUCCAUUUUUUCCUGUUUUCAUCACUUCUUCAAAGGUGUCUCUACAUAGGUGUUUAAUUAUAUACAUGAUUAAUUAACUAUUAUACAGGAAGAGCUCACUUUUAUUUCCCUUCUCAGCUCUGACUAACAAAUCACACCGGUAAUCUGAUCUGAUUCUAAUACUGACUAUUAACACAAACAAGUGUUAAUCACCAGCCGAUCAGAAUGGAUUUUGAUCCGAGGAAUGAUGGAAGCAAGACUGAGGAGCAGCUAGCCGCCUGAGCUGUUCAGCAAACUCAGCAUGGUUUCCUAACGAGCUAGCUAGUUUCCCUGGACUCUUGGCGAACACAAGUGGAGCUUUGGAGAGGCCGUCAGCAGAGCUGUUUACACCCUCUCUCACCUCCCAGCUGCUCUGAGGCCUCCGUGUUCACUACUUGACCUUUAAAAACACCACUAAGCUAUUUCUAAAACUUUGACACUGUUAACAGUUAUUCUCAGAUCAAUCAGCCAGUAACCAAGAGUUUCUUAACUUUGGGGUCGCUUGACAUGCAUAGGGGGAUACAAUUUAUAAGGAUGAUAUAUUGAUGUGGAUUUUUUAUAUUUUUCAUAUGAACAUUUUAAAAGAAGAUGUAUUAUUGAUUCAAUCCAUUUUGUAUUUGCUGCUGCCUUUUUGUAAUUUCUUUCUAAAAGAUAAAGAUUUUAUACUCAUAAUUCAUGUUGUUUUAGUGUAAUGGGAACGCUAAGUCUAGUUCACAGAGCGUAAAAUGUUAAAUACACAACAUAAUUGAGUCGACCCAAAACUGUGAACUUAUUGAUGUAUUUUGUAUCAGGACAAUGGCUGGCUACUUGGAUAUGUUUUGUGACAUGUUGCUCCUCUGACCUGAUAGUGUACAGUGUAAAA